AUGGAGGUUGCUGCUGGGGCCAUGGGCCCCGUCAUCCGUAAGCUUGGUGAGCUCCUCGUUGGAGAAUACAACCUGGAGAAGCGAGUGAAGAAAGGCGUAACAUCGCUCCUUACAGAGCUGGAGAUGAUGCAUGCCGUACUUCGUAAGGUUGGUGAGGUGCCGUCAGACCAGCUUGAGGAGCCGGUCCGGAUUUGGGCUGGCAAGGUGAGAGACCUCUCUUGCGACAUGGAAGAUGUUGUUGAUGACUUCCUUGUGCGUGUGGAUGAGGGUUCUAGCAACAAGCCAACAGACAUGAGGAAUCGAGUCAAGAAGUUUCUCAAGAAGACCACCAAAUUGUUUGGUAAGGGCAAAGCACUUCAUCAAAUCUGUGAUGCCAUUGACGAAGCUCAGGAUCUUGCCAAGGAGUUGACGGACCUGCGUAAAAGGAGUUCCGAGGAGCAACUGAAGACGAUCUCUAUUGUUGGUGUUGGUGGGUUGGGUAAGACAACCCUCACCAAAGCAGUUUAUGAGAAUAUCAAAGCUCAAUUUGAUUGUGCGGCUUUUGUCCCUGUGGGUCAGAAACCAGAUAUCCGGAAAGUUUUCAAGGACAUACUUUAUGGCCUUGACAAAGUAAAGUUCAGGGACAUUCAUAAUACAACAAAGGGUGAAAAUCUACUCAUCGAGGAAAUCAGUGAAUUCCUUGUGGAUAAAAGGUACCUCAUCGUAAUCGAUGAUAUAUGGGAAAAAGACAUAUGGAAAUAUAUAGAUUGUGCUCUCUAUAAAAAUAAACUCCAGAGUCGGGUAAUCACAACAACCCGCAAUGUGAGUGUGUCUGAAGCAUGUCUCUCUUCCACUAAUGGCACAAUUCACAGAAUGAAACCUCUUUCUGAUGAAGACUCGCAAAUACUCUUCCAUAGAAGAAUAUUUCAAAGUGAGGAGAAAUGUCCAGAAGAUUUGCGGAUAGUAUCAAGAGAUAUAUUGAAGAAAUGUGGUGGUGUACCAUUAGCUAUCAUUACAAUAGCUAGCCUCCUGGUAAGUAAUCAGCAGAUAAAGCCAAACCAUGAGUGGAUGGAUGUGUACAAUUCGAUGGGUCAUGGAGUUACACAAAAUGGUAUUGCUAAGGACAUGAAGAGGAUAUUAUCACUCAGCUAUUAUGAUUUGCCUCCUCAUUUGAAGACUUGUUUAUUAUAUCUAAGCAUCUUUCCUGAAGACUUUGAGGUUGAGAGAGUUUGGUUGAUAUGGAGGUGGCUUGCUGAAGGAUUUAUCCAGCGUGACAAAAAAGAAAGCAGUUUAUUUGAGAUCGGAGAGAGCUACUUCAACGAACUCAUGAAUAGAAGUUUGCUCCAGCCAGCAUAUAUCAAUGAGAAAGGAACAGUUGUAACUUUCCGUAUACAUGAUAUGGUUCUUGAUCUUAUCUGCUCACUGUCAAGUGAAGAGAAUUUUAUCUCCAUAUUGGAUAAUGAAGAGUGGCAUGCACCUAAUAUGCAUAGGAAAUUUCGCAGGUUAUCACUUCAUAAUAUCAAGGCAAAGGUUCAGAACCAUCAGUUUGAUAGCACUAGUCUGUCAAAAGUGAGGACAUUUGUUGUUUUUGUUAGGAAAGCAACUUAUCUUUAUUGA
rnacentral:rRNA from 1 species